UACGUAGGGGGCUAGCGUUGUCCGGAAUCAUUGGGCGUAAAGCGCGCGUAGGCGGCCCGGUAAGUCCGUUGUAAAAGUCAAAGGCUCAACCUUUGAAAGCCGAUGGAUACUGCCGGGCUAGAGUCCGGAAGAGGCGAGUAGAAUUCCUGGUGUAGCGGUGGAAUGCGCAGAUAUCAGGAGGAAUACCCAUAGCGAAGGCAGCUCGCUGGGACGGUACUGACGCUAAGGCGCGAAAGCGUGGGGAGCAAACAGG
rnacentral:rRNA from 1 species